rnacentral:rRNA from 1 species
GGUACACGAGCGGCGAACGGGUGAGUAACACGUGGGUGAUCUGCCCUGCACUUCGGGAUAAGCCUGGGAAACUGGGUCUAAUACCGGAUAUGACCUCAGGUUGCAUGACUUGGGGUGGAAAGAUUUAUCGGUGCAGGAUGGGCCCGCGGCCUAUCAGCUUGUUGGUGGGGUAAUGGCCUACCAAGGCGACGACGGGUAGCCGACCUGAGAGGGUGACCGGCCACACUGGGACUGAGACACGGCCCAGACUCCUACGGGAGGCAGCAGUGGGGAAUAUUGCACAAUGGGCGAAAGCCUGAUGCAGCGACGCCGCGUGAGGGAUGACGGCCUUCGGGUUGUAAACCUCUUUCAGCAGGGACGAAGCGCAAGUGACGGUACCUGCAGAAGAAGCACCGGCUAACUACGUGCCAGCAGCCGCGGUAAUACGUAGGGUGCAAGCGUUGUCCGGAAUUACUGGGCGUAAAGAGUUCGUAGGCGGUUUGUCGCGUCGUUUGUGAAAACCAGCAGCUCAACUGCUGGCUUGCAGGCGAUACGGGCAGACUUGAGUACUGCAGGGGAGACUGGAAUUCCUGGUGUAGCGGUGAAAUGCGCAGAUAUCAGGAGGAACACCGGUGGCGAAGGCGGGUCUCUGGGCAGUAACUG